GACGUAGGGGGCCAGCGUUGCUCGGAAUCACUGGGCGUAAAGGGUGCGUAGGCGGGUUUUUAAGUCAGGGGUGAAAUCCUGGAGCUCAACUCCAGAACUGCCUUUGAUACUGAAGAUCUUGAGUCCGGGAGAGGUGAGUGGAACUGCGAGUGUAGAGGUGAAAUUCGUAGAUAUUCGCAAGAACACCAGUGGCGAAGGCGGCUCACUGGCCCGGUACUGACGCUGAGGUGCGAAAGCGUGGGGAGCAAACAGG
rnacentral:rRNA from 1 species